GACGAACGCUGGCGGCGUGCUUAACACAUGCAAGUCGAACGGAAAGGCCCUGCUUGCAGGGUACUCGAGUGGCGAACGGGUGAGUAACACGUGGGUGAUCUGCCCUGCACUUCGGGAUAAGCCUGGGAAACUGGGUCUAAUACCGGAUAGGAGCCAUUUUUAGUGUGAUGGUUGGAAAGUUUUUUCGGUGUAGGAUGAGCUCGCGGCCUAUCAGCUUGUUGGUGGGGUAAUGGCCUACCAAGGCGGCGACGGGUAGCUGGCCUGAGAGGGUGGACGGCCACAUUGGGACUGAGAUACGGCCCAGACUCCUACGGGAGGCAGCAGUGGGGAAUAUUGCACAAUGGGCGCAAGCCUGAUGCAGCGACGCCGCGGGGGGGAUGACGGACUUCGGGUUGUAAACUCCUUUCGCUAGGGACGAAGCUUUUUGUGACGGUACCUAGAUAAGAAGCACCGGCUAACUACGUG
rnacentral:rRNA from 1 species